GAUGAACGCUGGCGGCGUGCCUAACACAUGCAAGUCGAGCGAUUUACUUCGGUAAAGAGCGGCGGACGGGUGAGUAACGCGGGGGUAACCUGCCCUGUACACACGGAUAACAUACCGAAAGGUAUGCUAAUACGAGAUAAUAUGCUUUUAUCGCAUGGUAGAAGUAUCAAAGCUUUUGCGGUACAGGAUGGACCCGCGUCUGAUUAGCUAGUUGGUGAGGUAACGGCUCACCAAGGCGACGAUCAGUAGCCGACCUGAGAGGGUGAUCGGCCACAUUGGAACUGAGACACGGUCCAAACUCCUACGGGAGGCAGCAGUGGGGAAUAUUGCACAAUGGGCGAAAGCCUGAUGCAGCAACGCCGCGUGAGCGAUGAAGGCCUUCGGGUCGUAAAGCUCUGUCCUCAAGGAAGAUAAUGACGGUACUUGAGGAGGAAGCCCCGGCUAACUACGUG
rnacentral:rRNA from 1 species